rnacentral:rRNA from 1 species
CACGUAGGGGGCAAGCGUUGUCCGGAUUUAUUGGGCGUAAAGAGCUCGUAGGCGGCUAAGUAAGUCGGGUGUCAAAUCCCCAGGCUCAACCUGGGACCCCACCCGAUACUGCUUUGGCUAGAGUCCGGUAGGGGAGCGUGGAAUUCCUGGUGUAGCGGUGAAAUGCGCAGAUAUCAGGAGGAACACCAGCGGCGAAGGCGGCGCUCUGGGCCGGAACUGACGCUGAGGAGCGAAAGCGUGGGUAGCAAACAGG